UCGGUGACAGGUGGUGGCAUGGUUGUCGUCAGCUCGUGUCGUGAGAUGUUGGUUAAGUCCCGCAACGAGCGCAACCCCUAUUGUUAGUUGCCAUCAUUCAGUUGGGCACUCUAGCGAGACUGCCGGUAAUAAACCGGAGGAAGGUGGGGAUGACGUCAAAUCAUCAUGCCCCUUAUGACCUGGGCUACACACGUGCUACAAUGGUUGGUACAACGAGUUGCGAGUCGGUGACGGCGAGCUAAUCUCUUAAAGCCAAUCUCAGUUCGGAUUGUAGGCUGCAACUCGCCUACAUGAAGUCGGAAUCGCUAGUAAUUGCGGAUCAGCACGCCGCGGUGAAUACGUUCCCGGGCCUU
rnacentral:rRNA from 1 species